GGGGGGGGGGGGGGGGGGGGGGGGGGGGUGGGGGUCGGGCGGCGGCGGGGUAGGAGGUGGGUGGGGCGGGGGGCGGGUGGCGGAGGGGUGAGGAAUGGAUCGGAAUCUACUUUUUGGGGGGGGAUAGCGGAGGGAAACGUACUCUACGACCGCAUACGACCUACGGGUGAAAGCAGGGGAGCUUCUGACCUUGCGCGAUUGACUGAGCCGAUGCAGGAUUAGCUAGUUGGCGGGGGAAAGGCCCACCAAGGCGACGAUCCUUAGCUUGUCUGAGAGGAUGAGAAGCAACACUGGAAAUGAGAAAAGGUCCAGACUACUACGGGAGGCAGCAGUGGGGAAUAUUGGACAAAGGGCGCAAGCCGGAUCCAGCCAUACCGAGUGGGUGAAGAAGGCCUUCGGGUUGUAAAGCCCUUUUGUUGGGAAAGAAAAGCAGCAGGUUAAUACCCCGCUGUUCUGACGGUACCCAAAGAAUAAGCACCGGCUAACUUCGUG
rnacentral:rRNA from 1 species